CCUACGGUGUGCAGCAGUGAGGAAUAUUGGUCAAUGGCCGGAAGGCUGAACCAGCCAAGCCGCGUGAGGGAGGAAGGCGCAGAGCGUCGCAGACCUCUUUUGCCGGGGGACAAAAGGCCGGACUCGUCCGGUCCUGAGGGUACCCGGAGAAAAAGCAUCGGCUAACUCCGUGCCAGCAGCCGCGGUAAUACGGAGGAUGCGAGCGUUAUCCGGAUUCAUUGGGUUUAAAGGGUGCGUAGGCGGUUUGAUAAGUUAGAGGUGAAAUACCGGUGCUCAACACCGGAACUGCCUCUAAUACUGUUGAACUAGAGAGUAGUUGCGGUAGGCGGAAUGUAUGGUGUAGCGGUGAAAUGCUUAGAGAUCAUACAGAACACCGAUUGCGAAGGCAGCUUACCAAACUAUAUCUGACGUUGAGGCACGAAAGCGUGGGUAGCAAACAGGAUUAGAUACCCGGGUAGUC
rnacentral:rRNA from 1 species